AAUAGAUACCCUGGUAGUCCACGCCGUAAACGAUGAGUGCUAAGUGUUAGAGGGUUUCCGCCCUUUAGUGCUGCAGCUAACGCAUUAAGCACUCCGCCUGGGGAGUACGGCCGCAAGGCUGAAACUCAAAGGAAUUGACGGGGGCCCGCACAAGCGGUGGAGCAUGUGGUUUAAUUCGAAGCAACGCGAAGAACCUUACCAGGUCUUGACAUCCUCUGCCAACCCUAGAGAUAGGGCGUUCCCCUUCGGGGGACAGAGUGACAGGUGGUGCAUGGUUGUCGUCAGCUCGUGUCGUGAGAUGUUGGGUUAAGUCCCGCAACGAGCGCAACCCUUGAUCUUAGUUGCCAGCAUUCAGUUGGGCACUCUAAGGUGACUGCCGGUGACAAACCGGAGGAAGGUGGGGAUGACGUCAAAUCAUCAUGCCCCUUAUGACCUGGGCUACACACGUGCUACAAUGGAUGGUACAAAGAGCUGCGAACCCGCGAGGGUAAGCGAAUCUCAAUAAAGCCAUUCUCAGUUCGGAUUGUAGG
rnacentral:rRNA from 1 species